GCCUCCCCUAGAUACGCCUAUGAAUCUAUCUAAAUUAUCCAAACAAUUUUGAAUUCAAUAAAAACAAAAAAAGUUUUUGUAUACUUUUACUAAUUUUUGUAUUUGAUAAAUUUUUUCGCAUAUAUAACAUUUUUCAUACAUAGGUACCUAUUUUACAAUUGUUGUCUUUUUUAGCUCCUACAACUUCCGAGCCCUAAUGAUUAUUCACUAUAAAUACGGUCACAAUGGAUGAAUGGAAAAAGAAUAUAUUAUGACUAUGUCCUAAAUCCAGCCCCUUAAAAAUGGUUCGCUUUCACCAGCCUUAAUUACCUAUUGGCUAUAAUUAUGAUAUAAGCAUAGGCUAUGCUGGGUAUUAUGAUUUUGAUAUGAAUUUUCUUCAACCAACACAUUUGUGAUAUGCCUAUUAUUGCAUUAAUAUUUACAUGUAUUCACUUAUGAUCUCAAAACAUCGAAAUAAUAUUUCUUGUGAAUUUUAUAAAAAAAAAAAUAUUUUUUUAUUGUUAUCAUACAAUUAUACAUAUAAUGCGCCCCACACGGCCCAUCGGAAAGAUAUCUAUUUCAUAAGAGUCACCCGAAAAUCUAUUGAUCAGCUAAAAUUAAGACGUGCCUAUGUAUUUAGCCACUUAUGUACUAUUAAAAUUGGGCAGGUGCAUUUACCGUAACUCGUUUUUUUGUUGACGGUUAGAUUUUUAUUAUUUUCUCAGCAUAAUAUUGAUAUAGAUGAUGGAUCGAUUCUCUUCCAGACGUUUGACCGAUAGCCGUCGUCCGUCGGUGUGCGAGUGCUAUAUACCUACAGUUCACUUAUUCGUACAUAAUAUAUCGUUGUGUAGGUUAUUUAGUAAGUAACACUAUAUAUCGCUACAGGCUUUAUUCGAAGAAAAAAUUGCUUUAACUGAGCAAUUUAACGACAACGAUCUUAAAAGCACGCAAUCUUUGUUCAUUUAAACUCAUCGAGCACAACACGGCAAUAAAUUAUUGUAAAAAUGUGUACGAUGCGUGCGUGUGCUUUUCCGCUUCCGUCUAACACCACGAUUUUUUUAAGUAGGUACCUACCUACUCACAUAAUAGAUGUAAAACGAUGUCUGCUGUGUAUGAUACAAUAUACAAAUAUAUUACACAAUUGCAGUUUCGGCAUGCUGCACUAAAUUUCACUUAAGGUUGGCCACUUCACCAAUAUUAUAAUGGAUAUAACAUAUAACUGUAGGCAUUUGCGUAUUUAGCCAAGUUAGAAUUAACAUGACCCUCACGACAAACGACUCGUAUUAAAUUUACUUAAUUUGUUCUCACUAACUGUCAGGCGAACUGGAAAACAUAAGAUUCCCGAAGAAAAUAAUUAAUGAUACUAUUGGCUCAGUCUAACUUCUAUCCCAAAUAAAUUGUAAAAUUCCUUUUUUUUACUCCCGGUCUUAAAUCCUUUUUACGUGCCUAGAUCUACAACAAACUACGUACGCCACCUAUCAAAAGAAUGAUGCACCAUGCCAAAUUGCCAACGAGGACCACUUUCCUUUAUUUCAGAUAACCAUUGGUUCCAUCAUCCACGUGUGAUGUAAAUCUCUUACACAGUUGCAUCCAGCAAAUGAUACUAGCGCAUUACAUUAUUACAGAACGCUUACCUAUUUCGGGCAACAGCUGAUGUGCAUUAUGCUUAAAAUAAAAAGGAAUACCUAGUAAGAUAAUUUUUUUUACAAAAUGGUUAUAGGUUAAGUUAAAUUACCUUUAUAUAACUAGGUUUACCUAUUCAAUAUUAUAUCGCUUAAGUCUAAAUUUAAUAAUAAUCAUCUAUUUUUAAAAAUAUCUCCUUAUAAACUUUGAACUUUUUGAGUUCAAUUUAUUAUUUCUCACUUGACUAUGUCUAUUAAGCAUUAAUUCACUAGGUACUGUAUCUUAUUUCUUAACGUUCUCAGCUCGAUAAAAUUGUUUUCAUUAUAACUGGCUACAAUUGAAUUUUUUCCCCUUUCUAAUCUUGCGUGCUAUAGUCCCAUUACUGCGUUUUAUUAAGUUUCGUAUUAAUCUAUGUGUCUGCGGCAGUACUUUAUACUGGUCGUUUAAUGUCAAAUGAUGAGGUCCAUUGGACUUCGUAACUCCAUCGUAAUUACUACGCUCAUUACUACGUGUGUGAUAAGUAGGUACCUAAUAAAAUUGCAAUUAUCCAAUGACUUUGGACCUUUAAACUGUCUAAAGCAGUGGUCGGCAACCGGCGGCCCUCGCGUCUAUUGUAUCCGGCCCGCUUUAAAUUCUACGACGACGUUUAUUUGAAUAUCAUAUCAAAAAAAUCAUAUUGUAUAAAUAUAAUAAGUUUCUAUCAGUCAUAUUUUAUAAUGGUAAUUAUACCUUGACAGUUAUACCAAUAAGACAGAGUAGAUACGACGAGUGUAUUUGGGCUAUAACCCUUAAUUUUCGAUUCUGUUCAGUAACGUUGCCAUGAUAUAAACAACAUGGUAUGAUCGCAAAAGUCCAGAUUUGGUCCAUGUUCGCGCAAUACGUCACUUGCUUACCCGUAUUAUCAUAUUGUCAUUAAAUUAUUAUUACUAUACACUAUGCACGUCACGUGCUUACCGAAGGAUCUGACCGUCAAAAAGUUACGAUCAUACUUUGUUUUUGUAUCAUGAGCGUUGCGUUUUUCGUACGGGUAUAUGCGGUUUGCGUCGUGUGUAGUUUUAAUAACAUUAUAAUUUAUAUUUUAUAUUCAUAGUGUUUACAGUUGUAAUUUCCAUACUUUUGUAUUAUAAUCAUUAUAUUAUUAAAAACUGUAAUUUUUGUGUUCUAUUA